UACGUAGGGGGCAAGCGUUGUCCGGAUUUACUGGGUGUAAAGGGCGCGUAGGUGGGUUUGUAAGUCAGAGGUGAAAUCCUGCAGCUUAACUGUAGAACUGCCUCUGAUACUGCAAAUCUUGAGUUCAGAAGAGAGAAGCGGAAUUCCAGGUGUAGUAGUGAAAUACGUAGAUAUCUGGAAGAACACCAGUGGCGAAGGCGGCUUCUUGGUCUGUAACUGACACUGAGGCACGAAAGCCAGGGGAGCGAACGGG
rnacentral:rRNA from 1 species